AUCUUAUUUUUGUUGCAAGUAUGAAAAAUAACACAAACAAUACAUGGUGGUGGAACUCUCUUAUCUAAUAAGUGAGAAGAAACCUAUAUGUAUACAACAUAAUAAAAAAGGCUUAUC
rfam:Polaribacter sp. KT 15 genome assembly, chromosome: I